GACAGAGCGCGAGGCCCGGCAUUUACACGGAGCUACUGAUGUAAAUAAUGAACUUUUGUCAGUAAAAUAUGCAUUGUUUGAUAACAUGAAUGAUAACUGAUACAGAGAACACGAAUAAACAUAAAGAAGUACCAAGGAUGGACAAGAGGAAAGGAAAGGGGGGUAACAAUGGACCAACCCCAAAAAAGAAAUCCAGGUUCGAGGAGGAGGAUGACCCGUCCCAGUUUGAAGCGGACCUGGCAAUGAUGGAGGACUUUGAGAAUGACAUGAUGGAUGACGAAGCUGCUGGAGGUUCAGGAGACUGUCGACCAGGACCCGAAAUGAAGGCCCCCAAAAGCAAGUGGGCACGACCUGCUGCCCCUGACCUUGACCCCAAGACUGACACAGUGACCUUUCAGCAGUUGGACGUGGACAACUAUGUGGGGAAGCAUCUGGCCGGCAUGCCCGGGGCCACACAGGGCCCAGUGCCCAUCAUCCGGAUGUACGGGAUAACACAAGCGGGCAACAGUGUCAUGGCCCACAUCCAUGGAUUUGCUCCGUACUUCUACGUCCCAGCACAGCCGGGCUUCAAGGAGAAGGAUUGUGGGACAUUUAAGGAUGCUCUGGAGGCGGCUGUGAAGAAGGACAUGCGGUCGAACCGAGAGGGCGUGGUCCAGGCGGUGCUAGCUGUGGAUUGCGUCAUCCGAGAAAGCAUCUAUGGUUACCAUGGCAACAGAAAGAUUCCCUUUCUGAAGAUUACGGUUGCGCUGCCUCGUCUUAUCGCCCCAUCCCGCCGGCUCCUCGAGCAAGGCUUUGUGUGCCCGGGCUACAGCCAGUAUGGCUUCCAGACCUACGAAAGUAACAUAGACUUCGAGAUCAGGUUUAUGGUUGACGCCCAUGUUGUUGGAUGUAACUGGAUUGAGAUUCCCGCGGGGAAAUAUGUCCUCCGUACCAAGGAUGCUAAAGAUGGCCGACUUCCGCCUAUGUCUCGCUGUCAGGUCGAGUUGGACGUGUCGUGGGAAGAUUUUGUGUCCCAUGCUACAGAGGGGGAGUGGUCAAAGGUCGCCCCUUUCCGGAUCCUCAGCUUCGACAUCGAGUGUGCUGGGCGGAAAGGUGUUUUUCCGGAGGCUGACAAAGACCCUGUGAUACAGAUAGCUAACAUGGUGAAAAGACAGGGGGAACGUGAUCCGUUUGUCCGCAAUGUGUAUACCUUAAACACGUGUGCGCCAGUUGUGGGGUCAGAGGUCUUGUCCUUCAAGACCGAGAAAGAAAUGUUGGAGAAAUGGGCAGCAUUUGUCCGAGAUAUAGACCCUGACUUGAUCACCGGCUACAACAUACAGAACUUUGACUUCCCGUACCUGAUCAACCGGGCUGCCCACCUGAAGGUGCGCGACUUCACGUACCUGGGCCGCAUCAAGGACAUCCCCUCUGUCAUUAAGGAGUCCAUGUUCCAGAGCAAACAGAUGGGGAAGAGGGAGAACAAGGUCAUCAACAUUGAAGGCAGGACGCAGUUCGACCUGCUGCAGAUAUUGCUGAGAGACUACAAACUGCGGUCAUACACCUUGAACGCCGUCUCCUUUCACUUCCUGCAGGAACAGAAGGAAGAUGUCCAACAUUCCAUCAUCACAGAUCUCCAGAAUGGUAACGAGCAGACAAGGCGUCGGUUGGCUGUGUAUUGCCUGAAGGACGCCAUCUUGCCGCUCCGACUCCUGGACAAGUUGAUGUGUGUCAUCAACUACAUGGAGAUGGCCCGAGUCACCGGCGUGCCCCUCCCCUUUCUGCUCUCCCGAGGUCAACAAAUCAAGGUCAUGUCACAGCUGCUACGGAAGGCAAAGGAACAGGACCUAGUCAUACCCUCGCAGAAAGUAGACACAGGGGACGAGUACGAGGGUGCCACGGUCAUCGAACCGGAGAAAGGGUAUUAUGAUGCUCCCAUAGCCACACUGGAUUUCUCCUCGCUGUACCCGUCAAUCAUGAUGGCACACAACCUCUGCUACACCUCCCUCCUCAACCCAUCGGUCAUCCAGAAGGAAGGGUUGACGGCAGAGCAGUACAUCAAGACACCCAGCGGGAACCUGUUCUGCAAGUCCACAGUCAGGAAGGGUCUGCUGCCAGAAAUCUUGGAGCAUUUGCUCUCUGCCAGGAAGAAAGCUAAGGCUGAUCUGAAGAAGGAGACUGACCCGUUCAAGAAGGGGGUGUUGGAUGGCCGUCAGCUCGCACUGAAGAUCAGUGCUAACUCCGUGUAUGGAUUCACAGGUGCUCAAGUCGGCAAGCUGCCUUGUCUGGAGAUAUCUCAGAGUGUGACGGCCUUUGGUCGUAUGAUGAUUGAACAGACCAAGCAGUAUGUGGAGGAGAGAUACACCAUCGCCAAUGGAUACAAGCAUGAUGCUAAGGUUAUCUAUGGUGACACAGAUUCUGUGAUGUGCAAGUUCGGUGUGGAGACGGUUGCCGAGGCAAUGGAGCUCGGGAAGGAAGCAGCAGAGGUCAUCUCUCUCAAGUUUGUCAGCCCCAUCAAACUAGAGUUCGAGAAGGUAUACUUCCCCUAUCUUCUGAUCAACAAGAAGCGGUACGCUGGCCUGUACUGGACGAACCCAGACAAACAUGACAAGAUGGACUGCAAGGGUAUCGAGACGGUGCGGCGAGACAACAGCCCCCUGGUGGCCAACCUCAUCAACAUGUGCCUGCAGCUGCUGCUGAUUGAUAGAGAUCCAGAUGGCGCUGUGCAACACGUGAAGCAGACUAUCUCAGACCUCCUGUGUAAUCGUGUGGACAUCUCGCAACUUGUCAUCACCAAGGAGUUGACCAAGACUGAUGACGACUACGCAGGGAAGCAGGCACACGUGGAACUAGCGAACAAGAUGAAGAAGCGAGACGCAGGCAAUGCGCCCAAGCUGGGAGACCGAGUGCCGUAUGUCAUCAUCGCCGCAGCUAAGGGCACAGCAGCAUAUAUGAAGUCAGAGGAUCCAAUAUACGUCCUGGAAAACAACAUCCCAAUUGACACACAGUACUACCUGGAGAAUCAGCUGUCUAAACCACUGCUAAGGAUCUUCGAGCCCAUCCUGGGGGAAAAGAAAGCCGAGUCCGUCCUGCUCAAGGGUGACCACACCCGAACGAAGACUGUGGUAGCAUCCAAGGUGGGCGGACUGGCUGCCUUCACCAAGAAGAAGAGUACAUGCAUCGGCUGUAAGACACCUCUCAGUGUGGAAGGUGUGUCUGUGUGCAAGCACUGCAAGAGUCAGGAGUCGGCACUCUACCAGAAGGAGAUCCUGCAGUUGCAAGUUCUGGAGGAGAAGUUCUCCCGACUUUGGACCCAGUGCCAGAGGUGUCAGGGAAGUUUACAUGAGGAUAUCCUGUGUACAAGUCGAGAUUGCCCCAUAUUCUACAUGAGGAAGAAGGUUCAGAAAGACCUGGCUGAUCAGGACAAACUCAUCAUGAGAUUUGGGGUGCCGACUUGGUAGUGGCCAUGCUGCAGGACUGGUGUUGUGAGAGUGGCCUGUGUGCAGGUCAUCAUGUGUUUGUGACCUGCACAGAGGCAGCGAUGUGCUAUUGACCUGCACAGAGGCAGCGAUGUUCUAUUGACCUGCGCAGAGGCAGCGAUGUGCUAUUGACCUGCAUAGAGGCAGCGUUGUGCUAUUGACCUGCUGCAUAGAGGCAGCGAUGUGCUAUUGACCUGCACAGAGGCAGCGAUGUGCUAUUGACCUGCACAGAGGCAGCGAUGUGCUAUUGACCUGCACAGAGGCAGCGAUGUGCUAUUGACCUGCACGGAGGCAGCGUUGUGCCAUUGACCUGUAUUCAGGUGUCAAUGUGUUUCAAGUGUUUCAAGCAAGAAGUCAAAUGACAAUUCCGUGUAUAGAGUACCUACCCACUAUUCAGUAGAUUCUGUUUGGCUGCACUAGAUCUCUGUCUCAAACACAUUGCAAGACAGAAAAUGUGAGACAGUUUAUGUGUACAUUUCGGGACUGUCGACUCUUUUAUAAAGUGCCUUGUUUAUGUCAAAAUAUCGAUGAAUAAUGUGAAAAUAAAUUUCAGUGAGAAUUUUCAUUUUUGAGGAAACUCGACCAAUUUAAUAAAUAAUUUCAUUUGGGGGAAUGUAUUUCAUGCAGCUGUCAUACUUGCCCUUUUGGUAAAUUUUGGUUCAGCCAAAUAUUUGAAUCUGAUUACAACACCACUAUCAAUGUUCCAUCCAUUGCCUUGUUUGUGGUUCUGCUGUAGCCUCAGUUUCAUCUGUAUCGUAAGUUAAUGGAUGCAUCCUAGUGCUGAGAGAUUGUUUUGCUAUGACAUGUUCUGCCUGUGAGAGUCUGUGUGGUGAUUUCAGGCAAUGUAUGCAAGAAUUGGUUUUGCAAUGAACUCAAUUUGCUCAGAUGGAAAUUAUAUUGUUUGCAAUCUGAAUUGUUUGACAACAAUGAAUUGUGAAUACUGAAAUUGCUGUACAUAACAUACCACUGUACAUAUUUCAUCAAUAAACAUGCAAGCAAGA
rnacentral:misc_RNA from 1 species